rnacentral:lncRNA from 12 species
UGUGUGACGGAUUCUCUCUCAGGGUGUCAGUACGGUGAAGCUGCUCUCUGGCCUUCUUACAUAAUGAGUCUGGAGUGACCUAUUAAAUAUCAGUUCACACAAACACAUCGACUCGCUCUCAUUGUGCUUCAGUCUCGUUUCCUCCUGCUGUCGUUCUGCAGAAAUGAACGGUGGCAUCUCAAAAUGAGACAUAAAUCGAGCUCAAAAUGAAUAGUUAGAGCAAUGAAAGUCUCCCAGAGACUCUGACAAAUAUUAAUGUAACUUGAGCAAACGUCGAGACAGAGAGAAAGAUAAAUGAGGUUUUGUGGGUUUAGGAGGGGUUGUGUUCUUACAGGCCGUGGUCAUUAUUUACAAUAUUCCCUUGUUUACUUGCUCAUUGACUGAUUUUUUUUUCCUCUCCCUCCCUUCUCUCUUCAUUUGCUUGCAGAUGUGACCAAGAGUUUUCAGAAAGGUGAGAUUCUGAGGGGUUUUAUUCUUUCAUUCCUCUGGCCGGAGACAGCUCAGAUGACGAGGGCUUCAUGAACGGUGUGGUCCGGCUCGGAGCGUGUUCUGAGUCUUGGUUCAGGGAUCCAGAUGGAACCAGCGUGAACCUGCGGGCCGCAGCGAGUGUCUCCGGAGGGAAAAUGUUCCACUGAUUUUUGUUCCUGCAACCUCAAACUCCUGAGUCCUCAGGAUCUUCGCCAGGGCUUUCAGAGAGCGGCUCUGGAAGCUGUCAUCGCUGGGCUGAGCAGCGACUGUCCCUCGUUACGCACGGUGAUCCGUCUCCUCCACGACUGCUGCUGUCACCGUGGCAACUGUCAAUCAAUCGCAUCGACAGCUGGAGAGAGCGAGAUACAGUAAUAAG